UUCCGGUUGAUCCUGCCGGAGGUCACUGCUAUUGGGAUUCGACUAAGCCAUGCGAGUCGAGAGGGUUCGGCCCUCGGCUGACGGCUCAGUAACACGUGGAUAAUCUGCCCUUAGGUGGAGGAUAACCUCGGGAAACUGAGAAUAAUACUCCAUAGGCCUAGGAUGCUGGAAUGCACUUAGGCUGAAAGUUCCGGCGCCUAAGGAUGAGUCUGCGGACUAUCAGGUUGUAGUCAGGGUAAAGACCUGACUAGCCUACGACGGAUACGGGUUGUGAGAGCAAUAACCCGGAGACGAUAUCUGAGACACGAUAUCGGGCCCUACGGGGCGCAGCAGGCGCGAAAACUUCACACUGUGCGAAAGCGCGAUGAGGGAAUCCCAAGUGUUUGCUCGUAAGAGUAAACUGUUUCUUUGUUUAAAACGCAGAGAGAGUAAGGGCUGGGUAAGACGGGUGCCAGCCGCCGCGGUAAUACCUGCAGCUCAAGUGGUGAUCAUUAUUAUUGGGCCUAAAACGUCCGUAGCCGGUUUAGUAAAUGCCUGGGUAAAUCGUGUAGCUUAACUAUACGACUUCCGGGUAGACUGCUAAACUUGAGACCGGGUGAGGCUAGAGGUACUCCUGGGGUAGAGGUGAAAUUCUGUAAUCCUAGGGGGACCACCAGUGGCGAACGCGUCUAGCUAGAACGGGUCUGACGGUGAGGGACGAAGCCCUGGGGCACAAACCGGAUUAGAUACCCGGGUAGUCCAGGGUGUAAACGCUGCUUGCUUGAUGUUAGUUGGGCUCCGAGCCCAACUAGUGUCGGAGAGAAGUUGUUAAGCAAGCUGCCUGGGAAGUACGGUCGCAAGGCUGAAACUUAAAGGAAUUGGCGGGGGAGCACAGCAACGGGUGGAGCGUGCGGUUUAAUUGGAUUCAACGCCGG
rnacentral:rRNA from 1 species